GGGGCUAAUACCGGAUGUGGUCUUUUUAACUCAUGUUAUUAAGAUUAAAGGUGACCUCUUCUUGAAAGUUAUUGUUUAGAGAUGGACUUGCGGACCAUUAGUUUGUUGGCGGGGUAACGGCCCACCAAGACUGCGAUGGUUAGCCGGCCUGAGAGGGCGAUCGGCCACAUUGGGACUGAGAUACGGCCCAGACUCCUACGGGAGGCAGCAGUAGGGAAUUUUGCGCAAUGGAGGAAACUCUGACGCAGCAACGCCGCGUGAGUGAUGAAGGUUUUCGGAUUGUAAAACUCUGUUGAGUGGGAAGAAACACGUUAAGUAUAAUACGCUUAGCGUCUGACGGUACCAUUCGAGGAAGCUCCGGCUAAAUACGUGCCAGCAGCCGCGGUAAUACGUAUGGAGCGAGCGUUGUUCGGAAUUACUGGGCGUAAAGGGAGCGUAGGCGGAAAGGUAAGUUAGAAGUGUAAUCCACAGGCUUAACCUGUGGCUUGCUUUUAAUACUGCUUUUCUUGAGUAGUGGAGAGGAAGACGGAAUUCCAGGUGUAGCGGUGGAAUGCGUAGAUAUCUGGAAGAACACCAGUUGCGAAGGCGGUCUUCUGGCCACAUACUGACGCUGAGGCUCGAAAGCGUGGGGAGCGAACAGGAUUAGAUACCCUGGUAGUCCACGCCGUAAACGAUGGACACUAGAUGUCGGGAGGCUUGUCUUUUCGGUGUCGUAGCUAACGCGUUAAGUGUCCCGCCUGGGGAGUACGCCCGCAAGGGUGAAACUCAAAGGAAUUGACGGGGGCCCGCACAAGCGGUGGAGCAUGUGCUUUAAUUCGAUGCAACGCGAAGAACCUUACCUGGAUUUGACAUGGGAGUGAAAGGUUUCAGAGAUGAAACUCCUUCCUUCGGGAACACUCUGCACAGGUGCUGCAUGGUUGUCGUCAGCUCGUGUCGUGAGAUGUUGGGUUAAGUCCCGCAACGAGCGCAACCCUCGUCCUUAGUUGCCAUCAGGUAACGCUGGGAACUCUAAGGAGACUGCCUGGAUCAACCAGGAGGAAGGUGGGGAUGACGUCAAAUCCUCAUGGCCCUUACGUCCAGGGCUA
rnacentral:rRNA from 1 species